GGUCCGGUGGCGAAAUGGUAUCGUAUUACUUUCCGGAGAGGAAAUUGGUAAAGAUUGCGGGUUCGAGUCCCGUCCGGAUCG